CCUAGCUAACCCUGCAUGGCUUGGUUGCGUGGCUUGCAGAGUGGAUCUUCUCGCUGUUUGGUAGAGAGAGAGAGAGAGAGAGAGAAGAUGGAGAUUCUGGGUUGCGCAUCUUCCAGCUCCGGCGACGACUAAUUAAAUUUCUUGGUGGAGUCGUAUUUGCGCAUAAUUGGAGAGCCAAAGCUUUAGUCUGUAUUUCGUCAGGUCAUUUGUUGGGGGAAUAUGGAACUGCUAAUGGAAAGCAUUCUGCUUCAUAUAUCACUGGAGAGAAGGGAAAUUGUAUAGUUAAUGAACAAUUGGAAGGAAUAUGUUCAAGCCAUGAGAAUCUCGCCUGUCUUUCCUGAGAACCGUUUACAAAUUGGUCAAGAGCUUACCAGGGGUCUUGGUGCUGGAAGAAACCCAUGCCAGACGUUGGUGUGAAUGCUGUCAAAGAAAGCCUAGAAUCAUAGAAGAAGCACUAUAUGGGUCAGACAUGGUAUUCAUUAUGGCUAGAAUGGGUGGAGGAAUUCGCACUGGUGUUGCUCCGGUAGUUGCAGGUGUUGCAAAAUCAAUGGGAAACUUCAAGUAUCCUUUUCUGACUAUGGUUGUUAUGAGAUAAUUCGGAAUAUGAGGGUAUUACGUUUGGAUUUGAUUUUACAGCAUUUUAGAAUUUGAUCUCAGCUAUGUAAAGUCAUUGACAUUUUAAGAAUAUAUUGGCUGAUGAGAGGUUCAAAGAGAUUAUGAAUGAAUUACCAUCUCACAUUAGGUUAUAAACAUGAAUUCAGGAAAAAAAAACAUAACCCCGCAGCAUCGAGUGGGCGAGUUGCCUAGUUACCUAUUUUAAACCUCUAACUCCUUAUGAAUAGUAAUUUGCCCUGCUGCUUUUCCCAUAGUUUGCUCCUGGAAAUGCAAUAGCUUGAACACGGCUUAGUGUACUGGAGUAUCAUUAAAAUGAGAUGUAUUGUUUGACAUAUAUUACCUAGAACCCCCACUUAUUUUCGAAACAAAAGGAAAUUGAAAUGGUUGAUUGCUUUUGGGGUCUGUUAGUGAAUGCGAAAGUAGUUAAGAUUGUUUAGAUUUUAGGUCGUAUUAUAGGAAAUUAGGAAUGUGUUUUCAGAACUCAUUGCCUAAGAUAGCUCUUUAUGUGAGUGAACAGAAUUGUGGGGGGGGGGGGGGGUGGACAAAUUCUUUCUGAUGUAAUAGGAAAGCCUAUUUUCAAAAUGGAUUUGAUUUUUUCAGUGUGUGGCUAGACUCAAAGCUUAUGUGUUUGAUAUAUGGGAGAUCCCACAUGGUCCCAUUAUAUGAUGGUUCAUCAACUUAUAGUCUUGUUGUUCUUCAGAUUGUGUUUUUCUUUCAUUUCUGACAUACAUAAUACAUAGUUUUCCCAUUAUUGUUUAGAUUAUAGGAGAUGUUAAAGCAAUAGUAGGUUUAGUUAACUCAGCGAAUGCUUCAGAGUUCUGAUGGUGUACAGGGUUUGCUCAAUACAUAGUAUGAACGUGUUUGCUUUAACUACUAAAGCUUAAAGAUAUAGAUAGAAACGAAAUUUGAUUGCUUAUCUAUAACUAUCAACUAUGUUUAUCUUCCACUCUUUUAAUUUCACUUUUGAACAGAACCUCUCUUCUAUUUUUCCCCCCUUUUGCAUGUGCGCAGUUGCAACUACUAUGGUAUAUAUACAUAUGUGUGUGUGUGUGUGUGUGUAUCUAUAUAUAUAUGAAUAGCAGAGCUCUGCACAAAGCUAUUGGGUGCGGUCUUGGUUUCAGGUACUUUGAUUAGCAAUGGUACUUCGAAUCUAUGACAACUCCAAUAACAAAUAACCAUGACCCUUUUGCAUUUUCUUGAACCUGUGACCAGUUCCUCUUAUUCUGUUUAUGUUUAUACUUAAAAUAACUGCUUACCAAACAUGACUUCUCUGUUGCUGUUUCAUGGUCCAAAAUUCAAGUAUAUUAAUCUAUUUGAACAGCUCUAGAGUCUCAAUUUUAGCUGCAUGAGUUCUAUUUGAAUAGCAUUCUCCAUUCACAACCUGCUGAUUGUUUUUACAAACAAUGCUACUCAUUUGUAUUUUGUGAAUUUUUGUGUGCAUCUUUUCUCUUUGGCCUGGAACUUGAACUUUUAAUUGAAAAUCUCUUGGGUUGUGAGAUAAAAAAAAAAAAAAAAAAAGAUUUUCCUUUUUCUAAGUGUAUACCAUGAUUCUUCUGUCUAUCUCUGAUUCAUUGCUUUUGAUUAUGGGAAAUGGGUAUUUGGUGAAUUGGUUUUUGGUUACAGUUAGAAAUUAGGUAUUGAGAUUCCUGGGUUUUGUUGUCUUUAUUCACUGUGGCCUUUGGGUUCUAGCUCAACUCUUAAAAGGUUUUUCAAAUUAAUGCUGCAGUGAUGCAUGUUUGAUAUAAUAAAUCCCUGUAUUGAUUCUGAGGGUUCUUAUUGCAGAUUUCAUUUGCAGUAGUUGUAAUUAUUUCUUAUAUCAAUGCUGUGAUUUGGUGUUGAAGCAUCUUUCAGUCAUGCAAAAACAAAGGGUUUUUUGUGGUUUAUUGGAUUCCCCACAAUCCAGGCUGAGGGACUUACAGUGGAGGUGAUACUUUAAACCGUGAAAAUAGGGUGUUACUUGAUCAUUGGACGUUGGAAAAGAUGAGGGAUGCUGAACGCCUCAAUGAGGGUGACAUUGUCUUUGCAUCUGUUAUGGCAACUCUUGGACUGCAAAUAUUGCUCGAGUCUGCUUGAGAACUGAUCUCAAAGAAAUGGAUGAUGGACAGGAGAAGUGGAUGACCGCUAUCAUGGUCUCUGUCACAGUAGUGAAGUUUCUCCACAUGGUCUACUGUCAAAGAUUUAAAAAUGAAAUUGUACGGGCAAGGUGAAUUUCAUUGAACCUUGAAGAUAACAGUAUUGACAAGGCAGGGUGAAUUAGUAGCUGGGCUAAAAUAUUGUCAAAAUUGGGAAAAAACCGAAAGAAUGCGGAAAGAGUCCACAUACUCUUUCGAUAAAUGAUCGCGUCAAUGAGCAUCUCUAAAAGGCUAAAUUUAAGUAUCAUGUUUUUAAGUUUGAUUUUAUAUUUUGGUUAAUUGUUGUAGUUAAACAUAUAUCAUACCCGCAACAUC